rnacentral:rRNA from 1 species
CACGUAGGGCGCAAGCGUUGUCCGGAAUUAUUGGGCGUAAAGAGCUCGUAGGCGGUCUGUUGCGUCCGCUGUGAAAACUCGGGGCUUAACCCCGAGCCUGCAGUGGAUACGGGCAGACUAGAGGUAGGUAGGGGAGAAUGGAAUUCCCGGUGUAGCGGUGAAAUGCGCAGAUAUCGGGAGGAACACCGGUGGCGAAGGCGGCUCACUGGACCACAACUGACGCUGAGGCGCGAAAGCUAGGGGAGCAAACAGG